rnacentral:rRNA from 1 species
AGCAGCCGCGGUAAUUCCAGCUCCAAUAGCGUAUAUUAAAGUUGUUGCAGUUAAAAAGCUCGUAGUUGAAUUUCGGAAUCUGUCCAUUGGUCGGGCUUCACUGUCCGUACUGGUGUGGUGGGUUCUUACCUUCUGAAUAACCAGCAUGCCAUUUAUUUGGUGCGUUGGGGAAGCAGGACUAUUACCUUGAAAAAUUAGAGUGCUCAAAGCAGGCUAGUGCCUGAAUACAUUAGCAUGGAAUAAUAAAAUAGGACGGCAUGGUUCUAUUUUGUUGGUUUCUAGGAUCACCGUAAUGAUUAAUAGGGAUAGUUGGGGGCAUUAGUAUUCAAUUGUCAGAGGUGAAAUUCUUGGAUUUAUUGAAGACUAACUUCUGCGAAAGCAUUUGCCAAGGAUGUUUUCAUUAAUCAAGAACGAAAGUUAGGGGAUCGAAGACGAUCAGAUACCGUCGUAGUCUUAACCAUAAACUAUGCCGACUAGGGAU